GCCAUUUCACCAACCAAUUUAUGGUCCACAAAGUGCACCGUUGGUUGCACCAAAUAACGAUGUGGGUCUUGACGGAAUGGUUAUAAAUGUUGCUAGUCUUUUAGCUGGAACCGUAACAAAUCCUUUUGGUAAUGGUUAUUUUCAAGGACCUAAAGAAGCUCCUUUGGAAGCUGCUUCGGCUUGCACCGGUGUUUAUGCUAAAGGAGCUUAUCCUGGUUAUGCUGGGGACCUUUUGCUGGACAAAACAAGUGGUGCUAGCUAUAAUGCAAAUGGUGAUAAUGGAAGGAAGUAUUUGUUGCCUGCUAUUGUUGACCCUAAAACCUCGGCUUGUUCUACAUUGGUAUAAAGUAAGAGUGUUUAGUUGUUAGGCAAUGAGAGAUUCUUUGAUUUGUUAAUUCAAUUAGUUGUUAUAGCCUCGAUAAUUCUUUGAUUCUUUGUAAUUUUAAUAAAUAAAUAAUAUCAAUAUUAUUAUGUCCUCCAUAAAUAAUGUUAUUGAAUGAAGCAAAGAUAUCAUAAUUUUACCAUUAUAGUUUUAUUAUAUACUGAUGCAUUAUAAAUAGAAAGUGAAAAAGAAAAAGAGCAAUGCUAUAAAUAAAUAGUGAAAAAUCUUGAGUUGAGAGUUAUGAUGAGAUUUGCAUCAAGCCCUAUAGUUGGCAAGUUGACUAUGAAUGUGACUAAUACACCGUUCAAUUCCAAAUCAAGCCAAGCUACUUAAUAUUAAAUUUAAUUUUUUUCCAUUUUUUCCUUUUUAAAAUAAAGGGUUGGGAGUGUUGAAGCACAUAGUAUAAAUUAAAUGGUAAAAUUGAAAAAGAAAUAGUUAAUAUUAUACUGAAAAUUGAAGUAAUACUCGAUUUUAGAUACAAUGAGUAUUUUGAAUGAUUAAAUAAUUCAAUUUCUUGAUGAAAUCAUUGUAAGAUCGUGUAAACUAAUUUCAUAUUUCGUCAUCGUGAGUUUAACUCAGUUGUUAUGUACAAUGCAUAAUAUAUAGAAGGUUUGUGGUUCGAAUCCCGACCACAAUUAAAAAAAGAAAACUAAUUUCAUAUUUCCAUAAACAACCCUUAAAAUAUUGCUAAAAAAGUAAAUAUGUAUGGAUAAAUGGCGUUAAUUUCAUAAAUCCAACUUCAACUAAUGCAUAUGCAAUGGUAAAAUAAUAAUUUUUUGGUCUAUGUUCUCUCUCUUUUUUUUUUUUUUUUUUUAUAUAUAACAAAGGUUGCCUUUUCUUGCCAUAAAAUAUAAUAAAGAUUAUCUUUAAAAAAAAAUUUGUUAAGGGUUUAGUUUAAAAUUAUAAUCUUAUCAUUAUUGUCAAUAUUAAUUUUUUAUCAAGUACGUUAGAAGUUAGAAUUUCACCUUUAAAUUGAAUAAGUCGUGAAUCCAAAAUUCAAACCUGAACCCUACGUUUAUAAUAUAAUGUCCCUAUCAAUUGAGUUAUACUCACGAAGACUCUUCAUUGUCAAUAUAACUCACAAAACAUUUCAUCAUAGUUGAUCCAUAAUAGAAUCCUCGCAAUUACUGACCAUAUUCAAUAUACAAUUACUACUAAAAAAAAGUGGAGAAUUCACCAACACCCUUUCAUUUUGGAACCUGUAGAUCAACAGACUAAUGUCAUGUUAGAGUCGAACUUGACGAUGGAUACGUCACCUAGUACAACUCAACAGUCUUUGGUGGCGGUUCAAGAAACAAAUACGAAUGCUACUCUUGGGCAUUAUGAGGCGUCAAUUGAUCCGACUCAACAAAAGGAAAUUAAUCUUGUUCAACAUUUGUUGAUUCAAAGAAAAUUGUUGUGGUACCAUUUACGCCUUAUCUUACAAAAGGUCAAAAAAAGAAAAUUAGCAAGGCAACAUAUCACAACAAAGGAUUGACCCCCAACUUAAGGCGACAACGCUCUCGAACCUCGCUCUCAUAACCGCUCGAGGGAGAGUAACCGUUGGACGACGAAUCUACCAUAUUCUCAGCAGUUUCAAAGCAAAUACUCAUCUUUGUCAACCCAAAAAACGAAGGAAAUGUACAAAAUGCAAAGGAAGAAAGGAAGUACCUUUGAAGUUCAAAGGUUUUUCAGAAAAAAGAGGCAAAACUUUGUAGAACCGUAAACCCCAGAAAUGCAGCCUAGAGAGGAAGGAUUUUCGCGCAAGUUGGUCGGAGGAAAAACUGGGAAAAGAAAACAAUACACUUCUAGGUGAAGUUUAAGAGUGAAUGCAGAAUAUCUGAAACCAUGAAGAUAAAGAGCGUAAAAGUUGGAAACAAAAAGUUUCCCUUCUUUUAUAGGCUUCAAAAGUAUCCAGAUCGACGAUUCAGAAGAGAAGAAACCUUGAAACCAAAGGUUUCUGAUUCAACGAUUAAUGGCAAUAUGACCUCGAACCACGAAGGGCACUCAAGUGGCACGCGCGUGAAGCGCAAAGGCCGGUGCGUGUGCGGGCCACGAAGCAUGCACGUGGAAAGUAAAACUAAACAACCAUCACGUUAUGAACGUUUCAGUUUGAAGCAUUAAAUGCCAACUGCUCCCACUAACUCGCAUGGGGCGCCACCUCCUCGAGGAAGGAAAAACUUCUCGCAAAUGUAAAACUACAGAGGCGCCAACAUGUGAAGGCGCCUGAUCGUAUGCCUCUCUUCACAGCUAAAAGCCAUUGCGCCUUAAAUGCAUCAACAGUUUUGGGGACAAAUGUUCUGGACCAGUUAGAAGACCAAUCUUACGUUGACACGUGGCCUGGCCUACACAGCCUUAAGGCUCUGCGCCUAAAGGAACACGCCAGCUUAAAUGCAUUGUGCCACACAGGAGCGCCCGCGAUGAUAACCUUACAUGUGUCCUCUAAUCGUCCCUAAUCACACGCCGCAAAACUCGAAGACGGUUACUCUCAACGCGCGCCUAUAUAAGGGUGACCUUGCUUCACCCCCAAGGUAUGAUUCACUUUUCACAACACCUUCUAAACACUCUUUCUCAAUUCCAUUACUGACUUGAGCGUCGGAGUGCUAACGUGUCUGAAGACACCUUUUGUCCCACUGCAAGGACUCGUCACCACCGUACCAGAAACCAUCACCGUCACAUCGGAGCACUUUCCACCACUGUUACCUCUCAUCCAUCCUCACCGGACAAAUCAAAACUUCUUCUGCAAACCUUUGAACCUUAAAACUUAUCUUAAACCUGAUGAACCCCCAAUCUCAACUCACGUAAACUUAUGAAGCAAAAAAAAAAAACACAAAUAAAGAAUAUAUAAAGAGAUCACCCAAAACAAGCGAAGAUAAAAAUUGCACAUUCUUGAUACGAGCAAAAUAAGUGCAAUUUUCUUAAAUUAUACUUCACAUAUCCCUCAUUAUAAAAUCCGUUGCAAAAAAAUUGUUUAUCCUUAAUACAUGAUUAUCCAUAAAUUUUAAGUACAUUGCUUUUUUUUUUUUCUUUUUUCUUUCUAAAUAUCAAUUAUUAAUAAGAGUUUAAUGGUGGUGGAUCGACAUUUCAAAACAUUUUUGCACACACAACCAAAAAACAUUCAGAAUUCUCACAUAAAUUAAAAAUAUUAAUUGGCGUGACGAUUUUAAAUAUUUUAAUUGAUUGUGUGCAAAAUUAUUUUGAAUUGUCGAUACACUACCAUUAAUCUCUAUUAAUAUUACCAAUCUAUCUUAGAAUAUAUUUUAAUAUAGUAACAUUGAAAAUAUUUACACAAAAAGAUAUUUAAUAAUAAUUAGAGUCGACAUUUGGAACAAAUUUAUUAUUUCUUCAACUUUUUUUUAGCACGAUUUUUAUAAGAGAUGAAUAGAAUAAAAGUGAUUGAUCAUCAAUCACGCAAAAGAAGAGUUGUUACGCUCUUCGAUGGAGAAUGGACCCAAAAGCUAGGGGCAUGCCUUGUACAAAGAAUACACAGCUUUGUCGUUUUGUUUCAUAGCUGUGCUGUUGCCUGUUACUGUCCCAAAUCAAUGAAUUCAUGCAAACUGGAAUAACAAAAUAACAACGCGUGAUAUAGCUGGCACAUCCACCACUCACUCCACUCAUCCUCCUACAUAAUUUAACUUCAACUAUAUAUAUACCUACAACUACAUCUUACAUUUCCAUCACCUCACAACAUUUCCACAUUCCCUUCUACUUCAUACUUUGUUCUAUCUCAAAAUGGCAUCUUUUAAGUUAAGUGUUAUCUUCACCCUUUUUCUCACAAUUUCACUACUUCAAUUGAGUUCAGCUAGGAAACUCACUGAAUCAGACCAACAACUUAAAUUUCAAUUCCACAAAGGCCCUCUUCUAACCGGUAAAAUUUCUGUAAACCUUAUUUGGUAUGGAAAAUUCAAACCAUCUCAACGAGCGAUCAUAACUGAUUUCAUAACCUCGUUGUCUUCUCCCAUAAAACCAAAAACCACAACACAACCAUCGGUUGCCACGUGGUGGAAAUCAACUGAAAAAUAUUACCAACUCACUAACAACAAGAAAUCAGUUAACCUAGCUCUAUCACUAGGUACUCAAAUUUUGGACGAGAAAUACUCUUUAGGAAAAUCUCUCACAACUAACCAAAUCCUUAAACUCGCAUCAAAAGGACAACAACAAAACGCCAUCAACGUUGUCCUAACAGCCGCUGAUGUGUUAGUUGACGGUUUUUGUUCAAGUAGGUGUGGAACCCAUGGUUCUUCUUAUGGUGCACGCGUGAAUGGAAAGAGAAACAAGUUCGCAUACAUUUGGGUUGGAAAUUCAGAGACACAAUGUGCUGGUCAAUGCGCGUGGCCAUUUCAUCAACCAAUUUAUGGUCCACAAAGUGCUCCGUUGGUUGCACCAAAUAACGAUGUGGGUCUUGACGGAAUGGUUAUAAAUGUUGCUAGUCUUUUAGCUGGAACCGUAACCAAUCCUUUUGGUAACGGUUAUUUUCAAGGACCAAAAGAAGCUCCUUUGGAAGCUGCUUCGGCUUGCACCGGUGUUUAUGCUAAAGGAGCUUAUCCUGGUUAUGCUGGGGACCUUUUGGUGGACAAAACAAGUGGUGCUAGCUACAACGCUAAUGGUGAUAAUGGAAGGAAGUAUUUGUUGCCUGCUAUUGUUGAUCCUAAAACUUCAGCUUGUUUUACAUUGGUAUAAAGAAUAAUUGUUUUGUUGUUAGGCAAUGAGAGAUUCUUUGAUUUAUUCAUUCAAUUAGUUGUUAUAACCUCGAAAUUAAUCUUUUAUUCUUUGAUUCUUUUUAAUCUUAAUAAAUAAAUAAUAUCAAUAUUAUUAUAUUGUCCUCCAUACAUGCAACACAUGUACAGACGGACGACGGUGCACAUGGCAUACUCUAUCCAUCUCAACGAUAAACAUUCACACAAAUCAAAUUUUAUUGAAUGAAGCAAAGAUAUCAUAAUUUUACCAUUGUAGUCUUACUAUAUAUCCUGAUGCAUAAUAAAUAGAAAGUGAAAAGAAAAAAAAAUAGAACGUGAAAAAUUGAGUUGAGAGUUAUGAUGAGAUUUGCAUGAAGCUUAUAGUUGGCCAGUUGACUAUGAAUGUGACUAAUACACCGUUCAAUUCCAAAUCAAGCUACUUAAUAUUAUUAUAAUUUUUUUUCCUUUUUUUGGUAUUAAAUUUAAUUUUUCCAUUUUUUUUUCUUUUUAAAAGAAAGAGUUGGGGAGUGUUGAAGCACAUAGUAUAAAUUAAAUGGUAAAAUUGAAAAAGAGAUAGUUAAUAUUAUACUGAAAAUUGAAAUAAUACUCGAUUUUAGAUAAACUUCUUUGGCAAAUGUCCCACUCAUAAUGUGACACAAUGAUUAUUUUGAAUGAUUUUUUUUUUUUUAAGAAAUUAUUUCAAUGACUAAAUAAUUCAAUUUCUUGAUGAUAUCAUCGUAAGUAGACAUGACAACACAACCCGUCCCCAUUGGAUCCCACCCACCCCGUCCCGAUUUUAAUGGGGAAAAGCCGAAUUGGUUAUGGGUGCGGGUUUGGAGAAAACCCGGAGUUUUAAUACGGGGGCGGGGGAUACUCACACUCGCCCUCGCCCCGUUUUUUUAAAUUACUAUUUUUAUCCUUAUUUUUUAUAGUCAUAUUACUCAUAUACCCUUCUUAAUCUUAACAUAGAAGCUUUUGUUUUAAUUAUCUUGCCACUAAACAUAUUUUUUCACGAUGAUGUUAUGAUCUCUAAUGAAUUUAGAAGCUUUUGUUAUUAGCUCUUUUUGUUAUUGUGAAAAAAUAAAAUAAAAAAUUGUCUACAAUUUUCGCGGGUGGGGUUGGGGAAAUCCGUCCCCGUUGGGGCAGGUCCGGGUGUAAAAUUUCUAUCCAGACGGGUUUGGGGGUGGGGGCGGGGCUGGGUACAAUGAAACAGGGACGGGGCCGGGUAUGUUAAAACUUGCCCCCGCCCCGUUGCCAUGUUUAAUUGUAAGAUCAUGUAAAUUAAUUUUUUUCCGUGAAUUUAGUUCAGUUGAUAAGGACAAUGCAUAAUAUAGAUAAGAUUCGAUUUUUCAGACAAAAAAAAAAAAAAAACUAAUUUAUUUCCAAAAACAACCCUUAAAAUAUUACUAAAGAAGUAAAUUUGUAUGGAUAAAUGGCGUUAAUUUCAUAAUUCCAACUUCAACUAAUGCAUAUGCAAUGGUUUAUAUAAAAAAGGUUGCCUUUUCUUGUCGAAAAAUAUAAUAGAGAUUAUCUUUAAAAAAAAAAUAAUGUUAAGGGUUCAGUUUAAAAUUAUAAUCUUUAUCAUUAUUGUCAAUAUUAAUUUUUUUAUCAAGUAGGUUAGUGUUAGAAUUUCAUCUUUAAAAUGCAUAAGUCGUGAAUCCAAAAUUCACACCAUAUCAACUAAGUUAUGCUCACGAAGACUCUUUAUUAUCAAUAUUACUCACAAAACAUUUCAUCAUAGUUGAUCCAUAAUAGAAUCCUCGCAAUUACUACCAUAUUCAAUAUACAACUACUAUUAAAAAAAAGUGAAGAAUUCACCAACACCCCUUCAUUUUGGAACCUCUAGAUCAACAGGCUAAUGCCAUGUUAGAGUCGAACUUAACGAUGGAUACGUCACCUAGUACAACUCAACAGUCUUUGGUGACGGUUCAAGAAACAGAUACGAAUGCUACUCUUAGGCAUUCUGAGGCGUCAAUUCAUCCGACUCUACAAAAGGAAAUUGAUCUUGUUCAGCAUUUGUUGAUUCAAAGAAAAAUGUUGAGGUGCCAUUUACGCAUUAUCUUACAAAAGGUCAAAAAUAGAAAAUUAGCAAGGCAACAUAUCACACCCGAUCUAUGAAUUCCCCUAUAGAACCGAAGGGUGGUUGAGCAGCCUCUUUUUCUUUUGGGCCAUUUUUUUCUUUCUUCGUUUAGUUUUUUUUUGUUUUUUUCUCUUACUUUCUUUCGGUUUUGUUUUGAGGGUUUUGGUUUAGCCCCCUCUUGUAUAGUUUCUUUCUUUUUUAUUUAUAUUAUGAGUGGGUGGCAGUGUAAGGCUUUCUUGAGAUGCCAACGGUGUUGUGAUGUCCGAAUGAUCCACUCGAAAAUCAGUUGUUAGAAUUAACAGGUCUUCAAAUCGUUCAUUUAAAAAAAAGGAAACCCGAUUUUUCAAACUCUCAUUGUUGUUUUAACUCGCUCUAUUUUAUUGAAAAAAAAUAAAAUACAUUUACACUUUGCAAGACUAUAUCUAUGUGUUUGUGUCUUGUUAGACUUUGUAGAUCUCUUGUUAUUUGUUAAUAACUUGAUAAUUUUAAUUUAUCUGUAUAUUUAUGUUUUUUUUUUUCUUCCAUGUCUUGCUAAUAUAUAAGCAUUUGUGUUUGACCAUAAAGUUUAUUAAAGAUUUUAGUAUUUUUCAAUAACAUUUUUAACUUACUAAAAUGUAUUUUCUAUUUAUAUACACGUUUAUUUGUUUUGAUAACUAUUUUAUUGGUGCAAAAUAUCUACCAAUAAUAUUAAUGAUUAUUCUCCGCUUCAGAACCUAUUUUUCAAAUUCAAGGGAUCUCCUCUCGGAACAACAUAUUUUUCAUCCACCGUGCGUGGAUCUGAGACCUUAAGAGAUCCGAGUAAAAUUCCACAAAGACCAACAUAAUGUUAGUGUGUAUAUAUUUAUUGAGUGUAGCUACCGAUAGUUGAUGCUUAUUCUGCGAAACUAGAAUUUUCAAUGACAUCUAUUUGUUUUAAUUAAUAUUACAUAUAUAGAGACUCAAUAAUAAUUUUAUGUGUUCUAAAUUUCUACAUGAUCCUAUCUUUGUUGUUUUGUCUAGUUUUCCACUCGUGCCGAAUUUAAUUGAGCAGUGUUGACAACACUUUUGUUUUAACAUUCUCUUCAACAUUUACUUUUUUAUUUGCUUAAAUCAAAUAGGUGUCACACUUUAAAAUUGAAUUACACUUGUUAUGGUCAUAUAUUAACGUCAUCCAAUAAAAAAAUAAGUGUUGAUGAGAAUGUUGAAAAUAAAGUGUCAUCAAAAUUUCUUAUUUUAAUUUGAACAUGUUGUGUUUAAAUCUCAUUUUUCACAACAAAUGUGAUGUUUUACCGAUACCCUAAUGUGUGUACGAGGGUAUGAAGGUAAGACUAAGAACUAAGAAACUAUACGGUAUAUAUACUUUAUCUCAUUUUUUGUUACAUUGCAUCAAAAACCCACAUGAUAUGUCAUGUUAGCCAUGUCAUCUAACUUAGAUUGAAAGAUGAAAUUAAAGACUAAACCAAUGGGGGCUAUUCAGAGAAAUUUAUUGGAUCAUCUUAUGUCGUUUUGUGGGUUAGGGGGUAUGUCAAAAAUGUUCGGGUGGCUCUUAACAUCAUUUGGGUUUUGGAUGUGUGGGGUUAUUUAGCACCAGAGAAAUAGACUCAAAUUCAAUCAUAAGGAGGAAUAUUUGCAAUCUUAUGCGAAAAAGUUAAGCUUUAAUCAUUUUCGUGGUUGAAAUUAAGAUAUAUUACUUUCGAUUUCGAUUAUCAUUUUUUGAGGCUUAAUCAUAUUCAUUGCCUAACUGUUCUAACUUAGCUUAUUGUAUCUUCUUUUGUUUUGUUUAUCUUGUAAAGUUAAGUCGUUUCUGAUACAUCUUGUGCUGAAAGAUUUGUUUUGGUUGGUAAUUUAUAUAUUUCAUUUUGGUCUCUUAGAAAAAACUAACAAUGGGGAUAUAGGGAUUAAAAAAAUUGUUAAAAAAACAUAGGGAUAAGAUCUAAAAUAGAGAAUUGAAUGACUAAAAUUGGCUAUUUACAUAAGUAUACGUAUGGAAGUUUUGCAAAUGUCCUUUUAACCUUAAAACUUAUCUUAACAUUGAUGAGUCUGAAUCUCAACUCUCGUAAACUUUUAUGUAAAAAAAAAAAAAAAAAAACACAAAUGGAGAAAAUAUAAAGACAUUACCUAAAACAAGUGAAGAUUAAAAUUGCACAUUCUCAAUACAAUCAAAUUAAGUGCAAUUUUCUUAAAUUAUACUUCAUAUAUCGCUAAUUAUAAGAUCUGUUUUAUUUUUAAAGGUCUAAUUAUAAGAUUUGUUACAAAAAUUUGUUUGUCCCUUAAUACAAAAGUAUCUAUAAAUUUUGGGGUAAUAGUCCCUUUGGUCCAUUAAUUUGUAAUGAGCAGUUACAAUGAUCCUUAAAUGUAUAAAAGUAUCAAAAUAGUCUAUGAUUGUGCAAUUUGUUAGUCAAAAUAGUCUUUGAUGUUAAAAUACUUCAUUAAUAUUGUCAUAUUACCCCGUCAAUAUACUUACUUAUUGUCAUAUCAGUCUUUAUAAAUACUUAAUUAUUGUCAUUUUAAUCCUUAUAUGAAAAGAGUUAUUGUGAACGUACAUUGAGAGAUUACUUUAGCGCCAGAGACCAUUUUGAGUAACAGAGUGCACAAUCAGAGACUAUUUUAAAAUUUUGAUAUAUCGAGAGACUAUUGUGACUACUCAUUACACAUUCAAGAACCAAAUGAUUAUCCCAUAAAUUUUUAAAUACAUUGAUUAUUUUUUUUCUAAAUAUCUAUUAUUAAUACAACCACUCUAUCUUAGAAUAUAAAAAAUAUUUACAUUGAAAGUAUUUAUACAACAAGAUAUUUUAUAAUAGUUAGAGACAUUUGGAACAAAUUUAUUCUUUCUUAUAACUUUUCUUAGCAUGAUUUUUAUAAGAGAUGGAUAGAAUAAAAGUGAUUGAUCAUCAAUCACGCAAAAGAAAAGUUGUUACGCUCUUCCAUGGACAAUGGACCCAAAAGCUAGUGGCAUACCUUGUACAAAGGAUACACAGCUUUGUCGUUUGGUUUCAUACAUGUGCUGUUAAUUGUCCCAAAUCUAUGAAUUCAUGCAAACUGGAAUAAUAAAAUAUCAACGCGUAAUAUAGCUGGCACAUCCUCCACUCACCCUCCAACAUAAUUUGACUUCAACUAUAUACCUUUCUAUUUUACACGUUAAUUAAUUCCUUUUAAAUACACUUUCCACUAUAUAUAUACCUACAACCCCAUCUUACAUUUCCAUCAGCACAUAACAUUUCCACAUUCCUUCUACUUCAUACUUUGUUCUAUCUCAAUACAUAUCCCAAAUGGCAUCUUUUAAGUUAAGUGCAAUCUUUACUCUUUUUCUCACAAUUUCACUACUUCAUUUAAUCUCAGCUGCUAGAAAAUUCACUGAAUCAGACCAACAACUUAAAUUUCAAUACCACAAAGGCCCUCUUCUCACCGGAAAAAUCUCAAUCAACCUCAUUUGGUAUGGAAAAUUCAAACCAUCUCAACGAGCCAUCAUAACUGAUUUCAUAACCUCCCUCUCUUCUCCUAAACAAGGAACAACCACAUCACAACCAUCCGUUGCCACGUGGUGGAAAUCAACCGAAAAAUAUUACCAACUCGCGAACAAUAAGAAAUCAGUUAACCUAGCUCUCUCACUAGGUUCUCAAAUUCUCAAUGAGAAUUACUCAUUAGGAAAAUCUCUCACAACUAACCAAAUCCUUAAACUCGCAUCAAAAGGACAACAACAAAACGCCAUCAACGUUGUCCUAACAGCCGCUGAUGUGUUAGUUGACGGUUUUUGUUCAAGUAGGUGUGGAACACAUGGUUCUUCUUAUGGUGCACUCGUAAAUGGAAAGAGAAACAAGUUCGCAUACAUUUGGGUUGGAAAUUCUGAAACUCAAUGUGCUGGUCAAUGCGCGUGGCCAUUUCACCAACCAAUUUAUGGUCCACAAAGUGCACCGUUGGUUGCACCAAAUAACGAUGUCGGUCUUGAUGGAAUGGUUAUAAAUGUUGCUAGUCUUUUAGCUGGAACCGUAACCAAUCCUUUUGGUAAUGGUUACUUUCAAGGACCAAAAGAAGCUCCUUUGGAAGCUGCUUCGGCUUGCACCGGUGUUUAUGCUAAAGGAGCUUAUCCUGGUUAUGCUGGGGACCUUUUGGUGGAUAAAACAAGUGGUGCUAGCUACAAUGCUAAUGGUGAUAAUGGAAGGAAGUAUUUGUUGCCUGCUAUUGUUGACCCUAAAACCUCGGUUUGUUCUACGUUGGUAUGAAGAAACUAAACAAAAGAAUGUGAAUGUGACGUCUCUUCGUGGU
rnacentral:lncRNA from 1 species